rnacentral:rRNA from 1 species
UACGAAGGGGGCUAGCGUUGCUCGGAAUCACUGGGCGUAAAGGGUGCGUAGGCGGGGUUUUAAGUCGGAGGUGAAAUCCUGGAGCUCAACUCCAGAACUGCCUUCGAUACUGGGAAGCUUGAGUUCGGGAGAGGUGAGUGGAACUGCGAGUGUAGAGGUGAAAUUCGUAGAUAUUCGCAAGAACACCAGUGGCGAAGGCGGCUCACUGGCCCGAUACUGACGCUGAGGUGCGAAAGCGCGGGGAGCAAACAGG